rnacentral:rRNA from 6 species
UGGGGAAUAUUGGACAAUGGGCGAAAGCCUGAUCCAGCCAUGCCGCGUGUGUGAAGAAGGCCUUUUGGUUGUAAAGCACUUUAAGCGAGGAGGAGGCUACUUAGAUUAAUACUCUAGGAUAGUGGACGUUACUCGCAGAAUAAGCACCGGCUAACUCUGUGCCAGCAGCCGCGGUAAUACAGAGGGUGCGAGCGUUAAUCGGAUUUACUGGGCGUAAAGCGUGCGUAGGCGGCUUCUUAAGUCGGAUGUGAAAUCCCUGAGCUUAACUUAGGAAUUGCAUUCGAUACUGGGAAGCUAGAGUAUGGGAGAGGAUGGUAGAAUUCCAGGUGUAGCGGUGAAAUGCGUAGAGAUCUGGAGGAAUACCGAUGGCGAAGGCAGCCAUCUGGCCUAAUACUGACGCUGAGGUACGAAAGCAUGGGGAGCAAACAGG